AUACGGAGGGUGCAAGCGUUAAUCGGAAUUACUGGGCGUAAAGCGUGCGUAGGUGGUUUGUUAAGUUAGAUGUGAAAGCCCCGGGCUCAACCUGGGAACUGCAUUUGAAACUGGCAUACUAGAGUAUAGGAGAGGAAAGUGGAAUUUCAGGUGUAGCGGUGAAAUGCGUAGAUAUCUGAAGGAACAUCAAUGGCGAAGGCAGCUUUCUGGACUAAUACUGACACUGAGGUACGAAAGCGUGGGUAGCAAACAGGAUUAGAUACCCUAGUAGUCC
rnacentral:rRNA from 1 species